rnacentral:rRNA from 1 species
UACGGGGGGGGUAAGCGUUGUUCGGAAUUACUGGGCGUAAAGGGCUCGUAGGCGGCCAACUAAGUCAUACGUGAAAUCCCUCAGCUUAACUGGGGAACUGCGUGUGCUACUGGAUGGCUUGGAUUUGGGAGAGGGAUGCGGAAUUCCAGGUGUAGCGGUGAAAUGCGUAGAUAUCUGGAGGAACACCGGUGGCGAAGGCGGCAUCCUGGACCAAUAUUGACGCUGAGGAGCGAAAGCCAGGGGAGCAAACGGG